CGAGCGGGGCGGGUUGGGGGUGCCCCACGUGGGAGCAGUGAGGCCCCGGCCAGGCGAGGGGCGGGCUAGGCUGCUUGGCGCCCAGCCCAAGCCUCCCCCACCAGGGUUCGGAUAAGGAGGGGCCCAGGGCUCCAGGAGAGGAUGGAGAGAGGCCACGCCCCUCGGGAUUGCGUCACCGUUUCCAGGGCAAUCGGGGGCGGCGAACUGCGCUGGAGAGGGACAGACCUUAGGGAAUGGAGGCAGCCGGAUGCUCCCGGAGGCCGUGGGGAUCUAGGCGCGGCGGGGGCGGGCUUUUCAAUUGUCGUUUCUGUGCUCGCCGAGGUACGAGAAGGGAGAGACCGCUUCUGCUGGCUUCCUCACGCCACAAACCUUUACUGAGCUGUAAUGUACCUGGUGCACUGGGGCACAGGCUCGGUCCGAACCCCGCGUUCACAGGUUAUCGUUACCGAGGGGAGGGGUGGCCGUGCGUCCUGUGACCGGCGUAAUUACUACGCUUUUCACGCUUGAAGUAUCCCAGAAUGGGCGACAUGGGCGACAGCUAAGGAAAGCCUGGAUGGCAGACAGACUAUGAUGAUCAAACUGGUUCAGAAAGGUUAAGAAACCCCAGGCAGAACAGUGAAGUGUUGGAACCGAGACCCAGACCCAAGUCUACAUGGCCUCCAAAGUCUACAUGGCCUCCAAAGUCUACGUGGCCUCCAAAGUCUACGUGGCCUCCAAAGUCUAAGCGUUCUAUUUCAUGCCUUUUCAAAAAGUAAAAUAUAAAGUAAAUAAGAGGCCCGGCCUCUGUGGCAGUUGGUAGCACAAAAAUCCUCGGCCUGGUGGGCCUAAAACACACUGAGCACGUGCAUGGGUGCCCAGGAUCCGGGAGGAAGAGGAUCCUGGGGGGACCAGGCUGUGUGGAGAGUGCAGCUCUCUCUCCCCAUCUCUCGGUCAUGAGAAGAGGCUCCUGGCAGGCAGCCUCCUUCCACUCUGCGCUGGAGGUCUUUGCAGUUGGUAUUUGCCACAAGCUCCCCCGUGUAACUUGGAUUUCAGCUUCUCCCUUCCCAGCCCUCUCUGAAGAUUUUUGGGAAACGAAAAAUAAUGGCAGCUCAAAACACAAGUUCCACGGCCACGAUGGCACAGGCAGCAGGGUGCCAGUGUGUGAGACACUGGAGCCAGGUCCUGGGUUUGGAUCCUGGGCUGAGCUGAACACUGCCACAGUGAUCCUGCCUGGCUAGGAGCCUGGAGGACCCUGUGGAGGGUAGCUGUGUCUGUCUUUCUCUCAAUAAAUAAAC